rnacentral:piRNA from 1 species
UACAGUACUUCUUUAAAAGUAGUUUUGUGU